GUGCCAGCAGCCGCGGUAAUACGGAGGGUGCGAGCGUUGUCCGGAAUCACUGGGCGUAAAGGGCGCGUAGGCGGCCGCGUAAGCGUGUGGUGAAAGCUCGGGGCUCAACCCCGAGUCGGCCAUGCGAACUGUGCGGCUCGAGCCCACUAGAGGCAGGCGGAAUUCCGGGUGUAGCGGUGGAAUGCGUAGAGAUCCGGAAGAACACCGGUGGCGAAGGCGGCCUGCUGGGGUGGAGCUGACGCUGAGGCGCGACAGCGUGGGGAGCAAACAGGAUUAGAUACCCUGGUAGUCC
rnacentral:rRNA from 1 species